CAAAUUUAAUCUACUAUUACUUAUAGUUAGUAAAUAACGAUUUUUACUUCUUCAGUCCCUGUUUACCAAAUAGGGGAAUUCAAAAGUUGACUUUUCUUUGACCUUAAAAUUUAGAAAAAUUUUCUUAUGAAAGUCGCAAAACACGUUAAGCCGAGUUUGUAGACACGUAGAUCACCCGAAUUGGAGUUUAUAUGAAAAAGUUAUGAUAAAAACCUAAGUCACUAUUCCGGGCAUGGGUAUAUAUAGUUGGGACCUUUCCAUUUUGGGUAAGUGCCCUUCCAGAAGGCUCUAACUCAGAAAACCCGAUGGGUUCUUCGUCGUCCCAGCGACCCAGACCGCGCACUACCACCAUUAGGAGCGCCGCCUUUUCCUAUUGCUAUCGUUGGGACCAGAUCACGCAUUACACCCCGAAAAAAGGAGAAAUUGAGGCUGAGUUCCUUCUCGGUGCUGAAAUGAAUACCCGGUUUGAUCUCGCCCUUCCAGCGACUUCCGGCAGAGAAACUUGUUGGGUUUUGAAGCUGGUGUCACACUGAUCAUCUUGAUAGCUACCCUGCUUGCCAAUUAAACGGAGGACGUAAUGAGCCGUCGAGUGAGGAGGAUCUUGAAAGGUAGCAGGGAUUGCUAUGAGAUUUACCUGUUCUUCGGUUUUUCGUUUGCCCAGUAUACAUAUUUGAAGGGGUCGUGCAUGAAGGAGCUAAGGCUUAAUUAGGAUCUAUCACUUCUGUUUUGACUGUAGGUUAUUGUUUAACCUACUCCUGCAUUAUAUUGGUUUAAGUAUGUAGUUUAUUCUGAUCACCAAACUGUUUAAGUGUGUUGUUAAGUUAAGUACUUGGGAAUUUGAAUUCUAUGAUCGUACUAAGGUGUGGUAUUAGCUGAAACGAGUACUUUGAAUAUGUGGAAUGUAAACUAGUAUUUGUGA